CCCACAGCCUGGCGCUCCGCGAGCCCCGCGUCCCCCGCGGCUUUGCUCGCCAGCACCUCCUCCCCCUGGAGCCCCGCUUCCACCCCACACUCCUCCUUACGCUUGGGGGUAUUCCCAGUCCUAUGGAAAUUAUAAUAUGUGGCAAAUGGCGCUUUAUAUAAGACUCGCUCUCUGCAGAUCUGGUGUUUCUCCCACUCACACUUUUCGAGCGGGGAGUCUUGGCAGGAAUCCUGCCGCUCACGUCCCCCCUCUGGCGUUAGUAUUUCUUUGGCUGCUGUUUGCAGCCUUACGGGGUUUCUCUGCUGCUGUUUUUCUCUGCACUGGCCAGCCGGAAUGGUUCCAGGUGUAUAGUCGUGAAAACACAGGGCAACUUGGUUUCGGAUAAAUGGGAAUAGUGUUAACAGUUCCUUACUUCCUAGGAUUUUCCAUUUUCUUUGUUAACCUUCGUAAAUCUUGAUCUCGGGGUGGCUGGCUGGUGGUGGUUUUUGAAUCAUGGCGAUUUAAAUUUGUUUUUCCUUACUCUCACAUUAAUCCCUAGGUAGAAUUCGCUGCUGUAGUGUUUGAGACCGACGCUAGGGGUGUGUCUCCCGCCUCUGUCGCUGCAGCCAAGAAAUCAACGCCCUUCUAGCCUGUUACCUUACCGGUUCUCUUGCUCCGGGCUGCCGGUCUGGUUUCCUCUUUGUAAUCAAGAAUUGCAUACACAGUAGAAAGGUUCGCAGUGCUCUUCCGUGUGUAUCAGAUAUUGGGACGUGUGAUUCAGUUGUUACCGCUUUUUCUAAGAGUCUGAACAGUUGUCAGGCGAUUUUUUUAGACUGGCGUUGGGUGAUUUCUUGCACCGUUUGAUUGCGUUAUAUUCCACAUUAUAUGUAAAAUUGAAAUAUUUCAAAAUAGAGUGGUGGGUGAAGACAGAAAUUAUGUGGAUUCUAACUCAACAAUUUGGUGAUGAUUGUGAGGGAAGAAAAUGAUGAUAGCUUGUUCAAGUAAGUCAGCCAUUAUUUAAAAUACAGAGCAAAUGAUUAAGCGUGUUUAACGGCUGUAUUUAAAAUACAAAUUAGGUUCAGAGUUAGUAAAUGAUUAGUGAUUUUGAUAGGUAGAGGAAGUUUUUCCCUGCUAACCUGGGAGGCAACUCAGACAACUCGAGGCCCUGAAGUCACAAAACUUAGGCUUUUCCAGACUGUUACAGAAAACAAUUUAGAAAAAUCAUAGCCAUUUAGUCUUUUUGUUGGCAUAGCCUUUUGGAGUUAGGAAUUGCAGUUCAGUGCUUCAGUAAAAUUUCCAUAUACACUAUUUGACUUGAAGGUCAGGAUCUUGAAGGUCUUUGUCUAUUAACAGCAAAUGCUUUGUUUUUACCUGAAUCUAUAGAUGCUACGUUUUGAGCAACAAUGAUCUAAUCUUUUGUUUCUGUGUUACAUAGCGGAGCGUCUAGUUUCCAAAUCCUUUUUUUCCUGUGGUGCAUUCCCCACCUCCCCUUUUUUUUGAGCAACAGAUUGAAUGUAGGGAGUCUUCUAGCUCUUAAAAAUUUUGUAUUCCUGGUACUCAGUGUUGCCUAAUUUUUUAAAAUCUUUGAAGGUUUACAAUAUAACAUUGUUUUUUUUUUUGUUUGUUUUUUCCAGGCCAUUAUUUUCCUCUUCUUACUGGUUUCCUUUUCAGUAUUUACUUUCUGAUUCACCCUUGGCUCUUCUCUCUUCCAUUUCCAUUUUCUCAAUAGCAUUUCAGAACCUGCAUAAUUCGCAUUGACAGCGUGGCUCCGCAACUUCAGGGUUAUUUUGAUCUGCUGAAUAUAGCACUGGUUUGAAAGUAUCAAGCCCAUACUUACAGGUCAACUCUGCCAGUGACAGUAUUGGCCCUCUUAAGCCAAUAUGGGAUAUUGAUGAACUCAAGUAAAUUGGGACUUGGCAUGGCCUGGUUCAUUUUUCUAGUUAGGUGAACAUGCAAUUAUGAAAAGUUUUACCUCCUUUUGAAAAUCUGUUAUUACUCCUAUUAUCAUGAGCAUAUAUUUUGGGAUGAGAUUUUACAGUAUCAGCCAAAAAGCUUAUAAAAUUGAAUUGAAUCUGUCAGGUACUUUUACCAAACUAAACCACAUCCAUUGCCUUCGAAUCCAUUCUGACUUAUAGUGACCCUAGACCUUUACUAACAGAUAUUAAUUUUAGUUGCUGCCUUAAAAGUUAUGUUACUUUUUUUUUUUCUUGAGUUAAAUUUUUCCUUCUCCUGCUCUCAUUUGAUUUUUUAAAUUGUUGGAUGUACUGGUAGGAUGAAGAUUAUAUGCAUGUGUGUACACACAUAUGCGCGCGCACACACACACACACACACACACACACACAAAUUCUGUGAGUACUGAGCACCCAGGGAUUUUUUUCUGAACCACUACUGGUCAGUUGUACAUGAUAAAAUAAGUAAAUAGAUGCCUUCGUUCUCAUGAUUUUUUCCUUAGGUAGUCAUAUGUGAUUUUAGAUAAUUUUAGCGUUACUGUCUUGCAGAAGAAUAGAAAAAGAAUAAAUUAAUCAAGUAUAAGAAUAUUUAGGUCUGUGUCCUUGAAAACAUAGUCUGAGCACUUUUUGAAGGAGUAAAUUUUGCUGGGGCAUUUUUAGAAACUUAGUUAAAUUUUCAGUAUCAAAUAGUUUUUAGUCUGUGCUUGGAAUUCAGGAACAUGGUCAGGUUUUUGUAUUUGUUUUUCUUGCAAUAGAUUAAUACGGAUUUUGCUGUGGUUGUUUACAUAAAGAUGAUGGUUCUCUGUUUUAAACUUUGUUUCUUAAGAUAACCUUAAGUCUUAUGAAGGAUCUUGGUGCUUUUAAACUUUUUAUUAAAACUGUCUUUGUCAUGAUUAAUAAAUAGAACUUAAAUUUACUGCUUUCUGAAAUCACUGCACUUAGAGUUGUUCAUAAGAUUCUAGUUCAGAUUUUUUAAAAAAGAAAGUCUCCUUUAAAAAAAAAAAGCAAGUAACCUGUGUUAUGACCAGCAGAAUUAAAAUUUAUAGCAGCCAUGAAGAGAAAAUUUUGUCUCCCGUUAUGUCCCAUAGUGGAUGAGAAAAUUUAAAAGGCUCAGAGUGAGUGAGUGAAGGUAAGGUAAAGAAGCUGAGAAGGAGCAGCCAGCAAAGAGGGGCAGACAGAUUGGGGAGGAUCACAGGCAGAAGUAUGAGGCAGUGUAAGGAGUCAGCUCAGGCCAGAAGGAUGAAGCAGGUAAGACCGAGAAAUCGGAGGGCAUCAACAGGGAUUUAUUCAUAUGUACAAAUACAUACAGACUUCGUCUGCUGUUCCCUGGUUAUUGUGUUCCCUGUUGUAGGAGGCAAAAUGAUUCAGGCAGGUUCCCUACCUUCAUUUAAGUAAGGGAAAUAAGGCAAAAUGCCUAUAACUGAAAUAAGUUAGCAUGUAAUGAGUAUGAGUAUCAUAUGAAUACUAUGUACAAAGUGUGACUGAAAUUGAGGAAAGAGCAAAGUCAGUUUCAUCUGGGAUUAUAGAAAGGUUUAUGAAGGAGGUGGCAAUCGAGCUAGGUCUACAAAGAUAAGAUUGCAGUAGGCAGAGUUGUUGUGUGCUGUUGAGUCAAUUUCCAGCACAUAUACGACAGAGUAGAACUGCCCCAUAGGCUUUUCAAGGCUGGAAUCUUUAGGAGGCAGACUGCCGCAUCUUUCUCCCAUGCAGCAACUGUUGGGUUCGAACCGCUGACCUUUUGGUUAGCAGCUGAGUGUGUAACCACCGCACCACCAGGGAUCGUAGGCAGAGUUGGGGGAAUGUACAAGAGGCCUCUGGGAGAAGAAACCUUAUAAGCCUGGAGGUAGCAAGAGGCACUGUAUAUUUGGAGCACAGAUUCUCAAAGUGGUUCCUUGACCAGCACCAUCAGCAUCUUCCAAGAACUUAUACCUUCACCCUGGACCAACUGAAUCCCAAACUCUGGUGAUGGGACCAAGCAAUCUGAGUUUUUUAGGUCUUCCAGGUGAUUCUGAUAUAAAAGUUUGAGAGGCGUCCCUGGGUUGUGGCACAGCCGGUUAAAUGAUUACUGGUAGUUGAAAGAUUGGUGGUUUGAACCCACCCAGAUGCACCUCGGAAGACAUGCCUGGUGAUCUGCUUUGGAAAGGUCACAGCCUUGAAAAUCUACUCUGCAUACAUGGGGUCACCGUAAGUUGGAAUUGACUGGAUGGCAAGUAACAAAGUUUGAGAGCCACUGUUUAGAGAAUAGCAAGAAAUGUAUUUAAUAACUUUCAGUUGAGUAUCUGUUAAUUUACUUAGUACUAACUAUACGUGGCGCCCUAGUGGCACAGUUUUUGAGAUCUACGGCAUACUAAGGCUGCUAACUAAACAGGUUGGCAGCUUGAAUCCACCAGCCGUUCCUUAUAUACUCUGUGGGGCAGCUCUACUCUGUCUAUAGGGGCCCUGUGAGUUGUAAUUGACUGGACGGCAAUGGUUUUUUUUUUUUUUUAAACUAUACAUAAGACAUGAUUAUUAUCUCCAAGGAACUUAAGUGAGAUAAAAAACAAUUAUAAUGCAGUGUGAUACAUACUAUUAUCAAGCUAAACACAGUAUUUAAAGAGCACAUGGCAGGAGAAAAACUUAAUCUAAACUAUGCCUGGGCAUGUUAUGCUUCGAAUGUGUUAAUCAGGGAGCCUAGUCCCUGGAGAAGGACAUCAUGCUUGGUAAAGCAGAGAGUCAGUGAAAAAGAGGAACACCCUCAACGAGAUGGGUUGACACAGUGGCAGCAGCAGUGGGCUCAAACAUAGCAAUGACUGUGAGGAUGGCACAGGACUGGGCAGUGUUUCGUUCUGUUGUCGUGGACAGCAUCUAACAACAACAGAGUUGGGGGAAAAGAAUGUCACUGAAAGAAAACUUCCUGGUUGGAAUGAUGCUUUUUCUGUGUCCCAGGGGGAUGAGUAUUAGCCAGUGUGGAGGAGUGCUCCAGAUAGCCUUAUGUUCAAAACCACAGAGGCAUGAGAGUAUACAAGCCAUUGAAGGAACUAAAGUAGUUCAGCAUGGCUGGAGGGUAGGAGGAUAGGCUGGAAAGGGGGAGAGUGAUCAGAUCGCAGCUAGAUUGUAGAGGGGCUUGCAGAUCGUAUGAAGAAGUUAAUUUUUCUCCCUAAAGUCCAUGGGAAACUCUUGCUUUUAAGGAGGAGAAUGGCAUUGUCUCAUUUACCAUUUUAGAAAGAUCAGCCUGAUAGCAUUGUACAUAAUAAAAUAUAAUGGGUGCAUCUAGACGUGGGGAUGCAUUUAGAAAUAGUUAUGGUAAUUCAUGUGAGAAAUAAGGACCUGAAAGAAUGCAGUAACAGUGAAAAUGAAGAGGAAGGAGGGAGGACUGGAUAUGAAAUUUAUUUAGGACAUAGAAGGUAAGACUUGGUGACUAUUUGAUUACAGGAAGAAAGAGAUUGAGUCGUGCCGUGGUUUCUGGCAUAGGUGACUGACUGGGUGGAUGAUAGUGCCGUCUAUUCAGCAAAUAUUUAUUGAGCACCUUCUUGGGCAAAGCUCAGUUCUAGGAGUACGUGGGAAAUACUAUCCUUCUUCUCAAGGAACUUCCAGUUAGCUGGGAUGACCAUUUCAUCUCUAGUCUUCUCUUUUCGGUUGGUAAUUAAUGUUUGGAAGGUUAUGUUGCAAGAUUGUAAGUUCAGUUGGAAGGACAGCUGUGAAACACUAACAAUGCUUGCUGCAUAGAUAUCAUGGCUUAGGAGAUAGCAGAAGAGCUUGAUAGGCUGAAGGUAGGAAAAGGCAACAUAUAUUUGAGCAGUGAUUCUCAAAAUGUGGGUCUUGAAUUAGCAGUAUUAGCAUCGUCUGGGUUGUUAGAAAUACACGUUUUUACCCUAAGAGAUAUAGGAAAAGCAGAUUUGGGGGAGUGGUGAUGAUGUCUGUUUUGGGCAUGCAGAAUUUAAAGGAGUCAUGGGACAUCUAAGGGAAUAUGGCCAACAGGUAAUUGAUUCUAUUUGGAGUUCAGAAGAGAGAUCUGAGCUUGGGCUAAAGAUUUGAGUGUUACUUAUUUCACUGUAUUAGGUAGUAGUUUAAACCAUAAAACUGAGUGGAAUCUUACAGAGAUAACAUGAGAAGAGGGCUUAGUACAGAAGCCCAGAGAACACUGCAUAUAAGAGACAGAGGAUGAGAAGGCUGUAAAGGUUGUUAAAGAGUGAAUAAUCAGAGAUAGUUGGAAAAUUAACAGAGUGAUCUCAGGUUUAAGAGAAUUUUAAGAAGGAGGAAGGAGUCAGCAGUGUCUGGAUAUUGCAGAGGGAUCAGGAGAGUUCUAGCUACUUCGGCAGUAGCAGUUUGUUGUAAUGGUGGUGAAGAAACCCAGGAUGCAGUGGGUUGCUCAGACAUUGUAGACGUUGGCCAGGCAUUGAGCACAGACUGCUGUUAAAAGCUUUGGAUAAAAGUAGAGAGAGGAUGAAAGCUAGAAGAGAAUUUAGGUUUGAGGAAGAAUUUAUUUUGGGUCCAAAUGAGCAAGCUAGGAAAGAGGGAAAGGUUGAAGAUUCAAAGGGGAAGAAAAUCGGAUUAUUAAUAGUUUAACAUUCCCAAGGAUAUAUGAGGGAAUAUGACUCUACUUAGAAAAGAGGAGAGAUUAUUUAUUUAUUUUUUAACCUGUUAACUUGGAAAGAGGUCGUGUAAGAGUUCAGGCAGGAAAGAAAGUCACGUAUGAGGUUGUAAACGGCGCUGACUCAACAGAACAGCUAUCAUUGUUUCCUUUGGGGGAACAAUGAUAGUUGUUCUGUUGAGUCUGCCUUCCCACUGAUGAUAGUCCCAUGUACAGAGAAAGCAACAUUGUCUGGAACUGCACCAUCCAUUCAUCUUGUGAUCCAUACAUAGGGUUUUCAUUAGCUGAUUUUCAGAAUUAGAUCGUCAGAGCUUCCUUCUAGCCCGUGUUAGUCUGAAAGUGCUGUUAAAACCCGUUCAGCAGCAUAGCAGCAUGCAGGCCAGCGUUGGUAGGUGGGUGGUGGCUGCACAUGGGGUUCACUGGUCGAGAAUCAAACCCUGGUCUCCUGCGUGGAAGGCGAGAAUUCUGCCACUGAACCGCCAGUGGCCUCCCCAACCACUGAUUGAUCUGGGGAUAAUGUACUGGGUGAUUUGGAAGGAGUGGAAAUUGUGGGUAGGAGAAUACUGCUUUUGUUGUAUUAUAGGUUAUAAGGAUUUGAAAGUGAAUGGAAAUGGAGACAUUUUUAAGAAGUUGAAAAGAGAAGCUGACUUAUGACAAAAUGGAAGCAUAAAGGAUAACUGAACCUGGUGAUCGAAUAGAAACAUAACUACAUUAUUAACGAAAGUAGGAAAGUAGGACUAAAUUUGCUGGUUAAAAGAAGUGGCGGAAGAAAGUGAGUUUGGUUUUAGACAGUGAAUUUGAUGAACUUGAGACAUUCCAUUAUAACUGUUUAACGAAUAAAUUUGGGAAUAUACUUGGAAAAGAAGCUAGAGUUAGAAUUUUUGAGUCAAGUUGAUAGCUGAAGAAAGGGUUAUAAGGAUGAGGUUUAAGAAGAUAGACACUAAUGGAAUUGGUCAUUAGAAGAAUAUUGAUGACCUUUAAGAGUAACUUCAGUGAAGACUCAAGUGAUGAAAAUAAGAUUGCAAAAGAAAUGUAAAUUAUUUUUCUUGGUUAUUGUUAUGUCCCAAAUACCUGGUAUAUAAUCAGAUGCUAAGGAGGGUUUGAAGAAGGAAUAUGUGAAUGAACAAGUAGAAUAAAAGAGUAGGUGUUGAUGCAGCAGUAGAGACAACGAAUAUCAAUUCCUUAUUAGAGAAAUCUGUGGAAGAAAGGACAAAGAAUAGUUAGCUCCAGCGGUUUACAGUUGGGGUAAGUUCUUUUUAGGGUAGGGAAAGGUGUGGAUAUCCUUCAGAAUUAAAAAAGAGAAGCUAGGAGAGGGAACUUUAAGAAGGUGCAUGCUUAAUGUGAUGAGCCCUAGAAGAGGUAGAAAGAAGAAGGAUUAAAAGGAAAGGAGGGACAUCAAAAAAAAAAAGGCAGAUGUAGGUGAGCAGGCCAUGGAGCCAGACAUGGUUUAGUAGUGGCGUUCAUACCACCAAACCAAACCUGUUCCUGUAGAGUUGAUUCCGACUCAUAGUGACCCUAUAGGACAGUAGAACUGCCCCACAAGGUUUCCAAGGCUGUAAAUCUUUACAGAAGCAGACUGCUACCUCUUCCUCCUGCAGAGCUGCUGGUGGGUUUGAAUCACCAAUCUUUCAGUUGGCAGCUGAGUGCUUAACCACUGCACCACCAGCACUCCUUGGAGUUCAUACUAGAUGGCCUGAAUCAUUUUGGUAUAGUUGGAGACAAGAUCAUCUGCCGAGCUUGAGAUUGAGGUUGAAGUAAAUGGGGUUGAAUGAAGGAUGAGGAAUAUGGAAAAGGAGUGAAUUAUUGACUUUGAGGGAUUUGAUAGGCAGUUAACAAACAGGGUAUUAAGUAAUUACAAAGUUUGAACAUGUUAUCAGGAGGAAUCAGUCCCUGGAGAAGAACAUCAUGCUUGGUAAAGUAGAAGGCCUGUGAAACAGAGGAGAACCUCAAAGAGAUUGACACAGUGACUGCAACAAUGGUCCAAACAUAGCAACGAUUGUGAGGGUGGCACGGGACAUAGGGUCGCUGUGAGUUGGAAUCGACUUGAUGGCACCUAGCAACAACAACAACAAGUAAUUAUUACUAUUACUAGAUAGUAGGUAGGAUCCAAGAGAGGGCAACAGUGGGUCAGUGACCUAGGAAAGGAAUCUAGGAAACGGAAGUUCUAAGAAGAAAAGAGCUUGAUACCUUACCAGUCUUUAGUAACUCAGAUUUUUGUGCUUCUGAUCAAGUUACAUAAGGGCUAAAAAGAGCUGUUUUCCAAGUUCAGGUUUUAUGUAGGGGGAACAUCUAGUUGUAAGUUGAUAAAAAAAAAAACUCAGCUAAAAUUCUUAAAAGUUUUUAAAAAGCUGUGAAGACACUGCAUUAAUAUAUUUGCUUAAAAAUUCACACUGUACCGAAAGGUAUAAAACUGAAAGUAAGCCUUCCCUCUCUCUACCCCCCACCCCCUACGCCUUCAUUUUCUUGUAUAUUCUCCCAAGGGGAUUUUGUGUAUGUGUGUGCGCACGCAGGUACGUGUGCACACGUGUGCACAUCUCUUCCAGCAUAUGGAUUUAUUAAAUUUUUUACAAUUAAAAAAAUUACAGUCUUUAUUAAAAAUACUUACCCAAACCAAAAACCAAAUCUGCUGCCGUUGAGUCAGCUCUGACUCAUAGAAACCCUAUAGGACCAAGUAGAACUGCCCCAUAGAGUUUCCAAGGCUUUAAAUCUUUACGGAAGCGACUGCCACAUUUUUGUCACUUGUAGUGGCUGGUGGGUUUGAACUGCUGACCUUUUGGCUAACAGUGCUUAACCACUGCAGCAUCAGGGCUCCUAAAAAUAUUUACAAUUUAAUAAAAAUGUUUCAGAUUUUUAUUUAAAAAUUACAAAGGUCAGACUUAGAGAUUUUAAUGGUACCCUGCUCCAGUUUUCUUAGUUUUAUUCCAUCAUUUUUAAUUAAUUUACAUAUAAAAUAUGAGUCAAAACAAUUCAACAUAAUUUUUCUAAUCAGGUAGCAAUUUCAUAAUGAUUGAGGUUCAUCAACAGGGGUUUGAACAAUUACAGUAUUAUGAAAUUACUCAGGAAAAAAAUAAAGUUUUAUUAGAUGUUUUAUACUUAUUUUUUUCCACUUAGCACCUUAUUUAGCAUUAACUACACAAAUAGCAAAUUCUUGAAUUAACAAAAGGAAAUGACUUCUGAAGUUUAGUGGAUAAAGUAUCUUAUUUUAUUUCAAGGCUACGAGAUUAAGCUUUCUUCACCAUUUCUAUUCUUUGUUCCAAAUAAACCUUUUCUCUAGCAGCUCUCGUCGGCCCUCUCUUUUUCUGAAUUUUCUUUUUGGACUCCCAUUUCCUCUUUAUGUUUAUGAGUUGACCAUAUAAUUAUAGGUAAUGUACAGGUCUGGCACAGGAAUAAAAGCUUGAUAAAUGAAAUAUGACUAAUAUGUUUCCAGGUUGGUCUUUGGUUUUUGCGCUCUUGUACUAUGAAAAUGUUUAAAACAUGAUUUUUGUAGGAGCUCAUAAAAUUUAGCACUGAUAAUUCAACAAGUCAUAGAUUUCUUCUUCAGAGUUGUUUCUUUUUUUUAAAACUAGCCCUUUUUUAUGAGUAUCAAAAAGAGGGGUACAUAUGAUAGUCAUGUCAAUAUCCAAAAAAUUGUUCUGUAAAUGAGAUGUCACUUUGACUUGUCUUUGUGGUGGCAUUAUUAAAUUCAUCCAUGCUCUGACUAGGUUCUCUUUUGUAAAUAGUUCCGAGUAUUCGCUUUUAUUUGUGUGUUAGACCUAGGGAUGCAUUUUAAAACCUAGUACAAGUGAGCAAAGCAUAAAAAAAAAAAUAGUAACCUACAAAAAAGGAUCAAGCCUUUACCCUCGGCCUUGUUAGAGUUCUCUCUAUUAGCACUUUUACUUAUGUAUUUAUCCUUAAUCUCUUUAGUUUCGGGGAUAGUUUUCUUUAAUUUCCUCAUGAGUGUGACACCAAGCAGGCUCCCAUUAUAGGUAUACAACAUGUUAGCAUUCUCUGAUAUUAUUUGCUUAUAAGGAAUGUUUAACAGAAAUUGAAGUUUGUCAGGAAAAGUAAGUGAUAAUGGAUAAAGGAAAUCUGUGAUUUGUAAGCUUAUGGUGCAACUUCAUCUUUGGCCCUAGUGGUUGGUGUGAAAAUUUGAAUAAUAGUUGUAUUAACUGGUCAUCCUUGUAGGCGUAUGGAUAUUAUCCUAUCAGUGACAGCGCUGUACUUCAGGAUAGAUCUUCAAACGUUCUUUUUGGCGAUGAGUGUAACACCAUUCCUCUUCAAGUUGUCAUUCCCGGCAUAGUAGACCAUAUGAUUGUCUGAUUCAAAAUGGCCAAUACCAGUCCAUUUCAGCUCACUAAUGCCUAGGAUGUCGAUGUUUAUGCGUUCCAUUUCAUUUUUGAUGAUUUCCAGUUUUCCUAGAUUCAUACUUCGUACAUUCCAGGUUCCGAUUAUUAAUGGAUGUUUGCAGCUGUUUCUUCUCAUUUUGAGUCACGCCACAUCAGCAAAUGAAGGUCCCGAAAGCUCUACUCCAUCCACGUCGUUAAGGUCGACCCUACUUUGAGGAGGCAGCUCUUCCCCAGUCAUCUUUUGAGUGCCUUCCAACCUGGGGGGCUCAUCUUCCAGCACUGUAUCAGACAGUGUUCUGCUGCUAUUCACGAGGUUUUCACUGGCUAAUGCUUUUCAGAAGUAGACUGCUGGGUCCUUCCUAGUUUGUCUUAGUCUGGAAGCUCAGCUGAAACCUGUCCUCCAUGGGUGACCCUGCUGGUAUCUAAAUACCGGUGGCAUAGCUUCCAGCAUCACAGCAACACGCAAGCCCCCACAGUACGACAAAUUGCCAGACACGUGGGGACAUAUGAUCAGGAACCGAUGGUACUGAAGGAAGAAGUCCAAGCAGCUCUGAAGGCAUUGGCCAAAAACAAGGCUCCAGGAAUUGAUGGAAUAUCAAUUGAGAUGUUUCAACAAGCAGCCCUGGAGGUGCUCACUCGUCUAUGCCAAGAAAUAUAGAAGACAGCUUCCUGGCCAUCCGACUGAAAGAGAUCCGUAUUUAUGCCUAUUCCCAAGAAAGGUGAUCCAGCCGAAUGUGGAAAUUAUAGAAUAAUAUCAUUAGUAUCACACGCAAGCAAAAUUCUGCUGAAGAUCAUUCAAAAACGGCUGCAGCAGUAUAUGGACAGGGAACUGCCAGAAAUUCAGGCCAGUUUCAGAAGAGGACGUGGAACCUGGGUUAUCAUUGCUGGUGUCAGAUGGAUCCUGGCUGAAAGCAGAGAAUACCAGAAGGAUGUUCACCUCUGUUUUGUUAACUCUACAAAGGCAUUCGACUGUGUGGAUCAUAACAAAUUAUGGAUAAUGUUGCGAAGAAUGGGAAUUCCAGAACACUUAAUUGUGCUCAUGAGGGACCUUUACGUAGAUCAAGAGGCAGUUGUUCAGACAGAACAAGGGGCUACUGAUUGGUUUAAAGUCAGGAAAGGUGUGCAUCAGGGUUGUAUUCUUUCACCAUACCUAUUCAAUCUGUAUGCUGAGCAAAUAAUCCGAGAAGCUAGACUGCAUGAAGAAGAACAGGGCAUCAGGAUUGGAGGAAGACUCAUUAACAACCCGCAUUAUACAGAUAACACAACCUUGCUUGCUGAAAGUGAAGACUUGAAGCACUUACUAAUGAAGAUCAAAGACCACAGCCUUCAGUAUGGAUUGCACCUCAACAUAAAGAAAACAGAAAUCCUCACAACUGGACCAAUGAGCAGCAUCAUGAUAAAUGGAGAAAAGAUUGAAGUUGUCAAGGAUUUCAUUUUACUUGGAUCCACAAUCAACAGUCUCGGAAGCGGCAGUCGAGAAAACAAAAGACGCAUCGCAUUGGGCAAAUCUGCUGCAAAGGACCUCUUUAAAGUGUUGAAGAGCAAAGAUGUCACCUUGAAGACUAAAGUGCUCCUGACCCAAGCCGUGGUAUUUUCAAUUGCAUCAUAAUGCAUUUGAAAACUGGACAGUGAACAAGGAAGACCGAAGAAGAAUUGACACCUUUGAAUUGUGGCAUUGGCGAAGAAUGUCGAAUAUACCAUGGACUCCCAUAAGAACGAACAAAUCUGUCUUAGAAGAAGUACAGCCAGAAUGCUCCUUAGAGUGAGGAUGGCGAGACUGCGUCUUACAUACUUUGGACAUGUCGUCAAGAGGGAUCAGUCCCUGGGGAAGGACACCAUGCUUGGCAGAGUACAGGGUCAGCGGAAAAGAGGAAGACCCUCAAUGAGGUGGAUUGAUACAGUGGCUGCAAUGGUGAGGUCGAGCAUGACAGUGAUUGUAAGGAUGGCUCUGGACCGGGCAGUGUUUUGUUCUGUUGCGCAUGGGGUCGCUAGGAGUCGGAACCGACUCGACGGCACCUAACAACAACAACAUGGUGCGACUAUUUUUCUUACAUAGAAUUUCAUGAAUUUAACUCAUAAUAAUAUUUAUCAAUUAAAGAAUGAAUUUUUGAACAUACAGGUAGGUAUACUUCAGCUCUGCCUUCCUAUCUGACUGCCACUGUCCCUUCCUUUAUCAUCAUGCCUCUUGACUCUUAUCUCUAUUUGCUCAUUUUGUUGUUAUUUUUUAAUCCACUACCAUCUAGUUCUGUGAUGUUUAAAUUCAAUAGCCAUUAGCUUUGCAAGGCUAUGUCAGUUUUAAUUAAAAUUAAAUGGAAUGGUAAACUUAGUUCCUCAUUUGCUCUAGCUACGGUUCAAGUGCUUAAUAGCCGUAUAUGGCUGGUUGUUACUUUGUUGGACAGUCUAGAUAUCGAACAUUUCCAUCACUGUAAAUUUUCUGUUAGCGCUGGCCUAAGAGCACUUGAAACACUUACUGAUGAAGAUCAAAGACUAGAGCCUUCAGUAUGGAUUGCACCUCAACAUAAAACAAAAAUAAUAAUAAGUAAUAUGAUAAACAGAAAAGAUGUUAUCAAGGACUUCAUUUUACUUGGAUCCACGAUCAAUGUCCAUGGAAGCAGCAGUCAAGAAAUCAAAGGACACAUUGCACUGGGCAAACCUGCUGCAAAAGAUCUCUUUAAAGUGUUAAAAAGCAAAGAUGUCACUUUGAGGACUAAGGUGCACCUGACCCAAGUCAUGGUGUUUUCAUUCACUUCAUAUGCAUGUGAAAGCUGGGCAGUGAAUAAGGAAGACUGAAGAAGAAUUGAUUCCUUUGCUUUAUGGUGUUGGCGAAGAAUGUGAAAUAUACCAUGGACUGCCAGAAGAACAAACAAGUCUCUCUUGGAAGCUGUACAGCCAGAGAGUGCUCCUUGGAAGCGAGGGUGGUGAGACUUUGUCUCACAUACUUUGUACAUGUUAUCAGGAAGGAUCAGUUUCUCGAAAAGGGCAUCAUGCUUGGUAAAGUAGAGGGUCAGCGGAAAAAGAGGAAGACCCUCUAUGAGAUGGAUUGAUACAGCGGCUGCAACACUGGGCUGAAGCGUAUCAAUGAUUGUGAGAAUGGUGCAGGACUGGGCACUGUUUUGUUCUUUUGUACAUAGGGUCACUAUGAGUGAAAACUGACUUGAUGGCACCUACCAACAACAACAAGUUACACAUCUCCAUUUCACUGAAACUCAUUAUAUUGACAGUAACUUCUAAUUGCUAUCAUGAAAUUUGGAGUUGGGAAGAGCUGAAUAUAAAUUUAGGUUCCAAAAUACUGUAAGCUCUCUAGACUUUAGUACAUAUGUAAAAUGGGAAUAACAACACUUCAUAAGAUGGUAGUACAAUAUAGUGUGUCAAGUGUUGGGAAUCCAUUAGACACUUAUUAAAUGACACUUUGUUCUUCAUUCUUCUUUGUAACAUCAGAUCUUGUUGGCAACCCUUGAAAUUCUCUCUUCUUUUGACUUUGUAACAUUUUCAACUAGUUGCUAGCCUUUCAAUUGGGUUUGGUCCAGGGCCCUCUUAAAUAUGAUUGUAUCAACUUCCCAUUUAAAAUCCCAUCUAUUAUAAAGACUAAAAUAACAAAACACACAGACUCUGUAGGUUUUACCUUUGCUUUUCCAGUUUAUUCCACCUCCUUUCGAAUUGCUUUCUAUACUCCAGCCACUUGUUUGGUUUUAUUCAGUAUUAUAUGCUAUGUUUAUUCUGCCAUCUGUUUAUUCGACUGUGGGAACCUUUGCAUAUGCUGUUUGGAAUGCCUCAGAAGUACCUCAAGGAGGUUACUGAGCCUCCCACACCAAGUCAGGUUGUGAUCCUAAGUUACACUGUCUGGUAGUACCUUUUAUAUUGCCUUUUUUGCACAUGGGUAAUUAUAUUGCCUUUGUCGCACGUGAUUAAUUUUUUUUUUUUUUUGUCUCCUCAUGAUUUAAUGUGGGCUCUGUGAGAAUGGGAAUCAUGUCUGUCUUGUUUUUCCUAUUAUAUACCCCUGCUGCCAGCACAGGACCCUACACAUUGUAAGAACUGAGUGAAUGCAUUUCUUGUUUGUUCCCAAGGUUUCAUCUUUCUCCUAUGUACUGGUGAUUCAUGUUUUUUUCUAAAUUUUAUUUAGUCUGUUGUUGAGACGAUGCACAGCAAAACAUACACCAAUUCAGCAGUUUCUACAUAUACAAUUUACUUACUAAUUACAUUCUUCCAGUUGUGCAACCAUUUUCACCUUCCAUUUCUGAGUUGUUCCUCCCUCAUUACCAUAAACUCCCUGCCCAUUAUGGUCUGAUGAUUCGUAUUAUUAGCCCACCUCAUUCUCCUCUGUUCCAGUCCAUAGAUAAAACUGGUUACUGGGUAUGUAUCUAAAUAAGAAUGUCUCUAAGACAUCUGAAACUCAGCGUGACUGAAACUCUGUUCAUUAUAUUAUCCCUGUUCAAACUUUAUUAUUUCCUGUUUUCCUAGUGAAAAAGCAUUUACGCAUUCACUCCUAACGAAAACCUGGAAUAGUCAUACCUUUUCUCUCCGUCACUGCCGCCUGAGUCUUAAGAUGUCAUCAGUUGCAGCCUGCAUAAUGCUUAUAUCUGUAACACAGAUUGGCUGUGUGCUGUCUGUGAACAGGGAAAUUUAUUUAUAACUUUCUCAUUAUAUUAACGCUUUGUGCAACUAACUGGCAGCAGCGGAACCCAAAAUACAGUAACACAGCUGAAAGCAGCAAGCUACAGAAAAAUGAAGUGUUUUAUACUGUCCAUUUAGCCCACAUUGUUACUUUUGACUCUGACCGUUUGAGUUGGAAGAGCUUAUUAAACAAUUCUCCAGGUCUUUGUGUUUUUUUUCCAUGUUUAUAUAUACCUUAGCAGCCUCUAUUACUCUUUAUACUUUUUUCUCUUACUUGCAUCUUUACUAUCAAAAGUCCUAUAUUAUUGUAUAUUAGUAUGCCUUUAAUCUAUGCUAAUAUUUUUAUUAGGAUUUUUCUUGUUCUUGUUAGUGUUUUGGUUACAAAGUUGCAUAGGUUUUGAGUGGUCUUUCCCCAACUCUAUUUUUCUUAAGUCAUAUUUUUAAAAAAAUUUAUUUAUUGUGCUUUAGGUGAAAGUUUACAAAUCAAGUUGGUCUCUCUUACAAAAAGCCAUACACACCCCGCUGUGCACUCCCUGCUGCUCUCCCCUUAAUGUGACAGCACAUUCCUCUUCUCCACUGAGUAUUCCCCCCCUCCCCCCGCGUCCAUUGAACCAGCUCCUGUCGUUACUAGACAGGAGUUGCCCACAUAGUCUCAUGUGUCUACUUGAGCCACAAAGUUCACUCCUCACCAGCAUCAUUGUCUGUCUUAUAGUCCAGGCCAAUCUUUGUCUGUGGAGUUAGUUUCCGGAAUGGUUCCAAUCUUCGGCUAUCAAAGGGUCCAGGGACCAUGACCAUUAGGGUCCCUCCAGUCUCAGUCAGACGAUUAAGCCUGGUCUUUUUAUGAGAAUUUAAGAUCUGCAUCCCACUGUUUUCCUGCUCCAUCAGGGAUUCUCUGUUGCGUUCCCUGUCAGGGCAGUGAUUGGUGGUAGUGGGGCACCAUCUAGUUCUUUUGGUCUCAGGCCGAUGGAGUCUCUGGUUUACGUGGCCCUUUCUGUCUCUUGGGUUAAGCCAUAUUAUUUUUAAUGUGUAGUUGUUUUUUUUAGUUGUAAGAACAUGAAUUAUUUUUAGGAAAAAAACAUACAGUAGCAAACAUAUCCUCUGUCUUUAGAUUCCCCAAAUGCCUCUUAGUGAGCUUCUUCAUUCCCAUUGUGACUGGCAUUCUUGCGGUUCUACUUAUUCUCCUGAGGACUACAUCAUAGCCUACCUAAUGCUUUGCUGUUUUUUGCCUCUAGUUUCUUCUGCAGACUGUUUUUCAUAUUGCCACUGGAGUUUUUCGUCUGAAAAGGAAAUCUGAUGUCACUGCCUUCAUUUUAAGAAGUACUUGCUUCAUUUCAGGGAACAUCUAGCUUAAAUGGCAUAAUGUAGUUCAUAAAGAAAAUAUUCUACAUUCUACUUUGGGAAAUGAGGCAAGUUACCCUUUGGAAAUGUG